CCUGCCAGUAGUCAUAUGCUUGUCUCAAAGAUUAAGCCAUGCAUGUCUAAGAUCGCUAGGCCACCCGAACGGGCUGGUACGAGUAAUCUGCGAAAGGCUCAUUAUAACAGUUAUAAACUUGGCUACUAGUUGUUUACAAGGAUAACACAGCCAAAUGCAGCGAUAAUACUUGAACCGAGCAUGUCUUGUACCGAGGUACAGUAUCAGUGUUAAUAUUACAUUAAGAAAUGGAAGAUACACUAGAGAACCGAUCAAUGGUUCAAUCAGACCAAAAAUUUAUUGGCCUAGAAGAGGUAUUUCUUCCCUAUCAUGCUUGUUGUUUCAGUAAGGGUGGAAACAAGGCGUUCACGGGUACGGGGAAUCAGUGUUCGAUUCCGGAGAGGGAGCCUGAGAAACGGCUACUACAUCUAAGGAUGGCAGCAGGCGCGAAAAUUACCCAAUCCUAAAUCAAUGGAAGAGUUUGCAAAUGGUUCUAGUUCAAAUCACUAGAAGAGUAACAAUUGGAGGACAAGUCUGGUGCCAGCACCCGCGGUAAUUCCAGCUCCAAGAGCAUAUACUAAAAUUGCUGUAGUUAAAACGCUCGUAGUUUAUGAGGAGGGCUAGUAUAUCAACCUCGGCUAUGGCAGCAGUGCCUUGGCGAACGAUAUCGUUUGACAAGGACUGUGAUGGUGACAUCAGCUGUAUCCUAUCCGUAACACAGUCCAAAAGACGUGGGACGGGAGGAAGAUAUUUCUAGUACCGACGAUUGAAACCGUGAACAAAUUAAUGUGUUUAAAGCAGGCAACCAUAUUGGUUCGCUUGGAUAAUUUAGCAUGGAACCCAUGGAUAUCCUAUAAUCUUCUCACGAGGAUUAGUAGGAUGUAGAAAUAGAAGGUAGGCGGAGGACUCUGGUAUUGUGUGCUUAGAGGUGAAAUUCAGAAAUUCACGCAAGACGAUCGGAGGCGUAGGCUGUCAUUGCCCAUCACACCUUCAUUGAUCAGGAACGAAAGUCAGGGGAUCGAAGAUGAUUAGACACCGUCGUAGUCCUGGCUGUAAACGAUACUAUCAGGAGUUUGAGUGUGAACCAACUUUUUAGAUCCUCCCAGGAUCCAAGGGAAACCUUAAGACUUUGGGUUCUGGGGGGAGUAUAGUCGCAAGGCCGAAACUUAAAGGAAUUGACGGAAAGGCACCACCAGGAGUGGAGUUUGCGGC
rnacentral:rRNA from 1 species